AUUGAACGCUGGCGGAAUGCUUUACACAUGCAAGUCGAACGGCAGCAUAGGUGCUUGCACCUGAUGGCGAGUGGCGAACGGGUGAGUAAUACAUCGGCACGUGCCCAGUCGUGGGGGAUAACGUAGCGAAAGUUACGCUAAUACCGCAUACGAUCUAAGGAUGAAAGCGGGGGACCGUAAGGCCUCGCGCGAUUGGAACGGCCGAUGUCAGAUUAGGUAGUUGGUGAGGUAAAGGCUCACCAAGCCGACGAUCUGUAGCUGGUCUGAGAGGACGACCAGCCACACUGGGACUGAGACACGGCCCAGACUCCUACGGGAGGCAGCAGUGGGGAAUUUUGGACAAUGGACGCAAGUCUGAUCCAGCCAUUCCGCGUGCAGGACGAAGGCCUUCGGGUUGUAAACUGCUUUUGUACGGAACGAAAAAGCUCUUACUAAUACUAGGAGUCCAUGACGGUACCGUAAGAAUAAGCACCGGCUAACUACGUGCCAGCCGCCGCGGUAA
rnacentral:rRNA from 1 species